CCGUGCCAGCUUGGGGGUCUGGGCCUUGAGCUGGGGGCUCAUAGAAGGGGAGCUCCCUGUGACAGCCUCACUGUGGGUGCCACCAGGGCUGGAGAAGGACGCAGGCCUUGGCUCCGCCCCACUGGGUGCUCAGCCUGACCACAAGGAAACCGGAGGAAUUACUGGGCCCAGAAGGAAGGAAACCGGGCCCUGUGGUGUUGGGGGUGUAAUGGAGGGGGGCGGGGCGCAGGCCUUUGGCACUGUGAAGGAGCGGGGAUCCCGGCACUGGAAGCGCCUGUGGGAUCUGUGACACAGCUGUGAUGGGUAGGAGGGCGCCUGGGUCCUGGGGAUCUCACCACAUCAUCGGUCCCAGAGACUUUGCUCCCUCGGUGCCCUUCAUUUUCUGACCAGCUCUAGGAACAGGACCUCAAGAUACCAAAGCAGGAAGCAGCAGGCACAAAGAAAAGCAGAAGUGGAAGAUUUGGAGACUCAACUCUGCUCCUUGAAGGGGCCUGAAGCUUCCUGGCGCUGCUGUGGGUGACGUCUGUGCCGGAGAGAUGACCUGGCAGGGCCGGGUCGCGUGGCUGCCUUGGGCUCUGCUGCUUGUCUGGGGCCCAGGCUCCUGGUCGCUGAGUGGCCCCAACUCCAUGACGGGCACCGUGGGGAGAUCCCUGAGUGUGCAGUGUCGGUACGAGGAGAAAUACAGAGAGAAUGCCAAAUACUGGUGCAAAAACCGAUGUGUGUGGAAGAUUGUGGAGACCAAAGCGGCAGACAGAGAAGUGAGGAAAGACCGUGUGUCCAUCAGGGACCAUCGUGCAAACCUCACCUUCACAGUGACCUUGGAGAGCCUCACAAAAGGUGAUGCAGGAACGUACUGGUGUGGGAUUGAUACAUCAUGGCUCUCAGGACAUUUCCGUGACCCCACACUCCGUGUUGUGGUGUCUGUGAGCCCAGCAAAAACGACUGCACCACCUGUCAGCACCACUGUAACCCCGAUGUCGACAAUCACAGCUAAAAUUCUGACCACACCAUCUCAGUCCUCAUCCACUGCUCCGACCACCAUGGGAGCCACCCACAGUGCAAGCAGCCAGGAGGAAUUCCCACCGAGCCAGGGCCUGGGGCUCCAAAUACUCCUCUCCUUGUUGGCACUUCUCCUGCUUCUGCUGGGGGGCAGCUCGCUGCUGGCCUGGAGGAUGGUUCGCAGACGGGUCAAAUCGGGUAAGAAUCCAGAGCCACUCCGGACCCCUAGUCAGGCGACGCAGCAAGGGGAGCCCCACUAUGCGAAUCUGGAGCUGCAGAUGUGGCCCCUUCGGGGAGAGCCCGUGCACCCCAGGCAGGCGGAGGUGGAAUACAGCACAGUGAAAGCUCCUGGGGAAGAGCCUCACUACUCGUCUGUGGUGUUUGACUUCCAGAAUGAGGGUUCUAAGGCCAGCAGGAUUCGCUCCCAGAGGACCCUGGAGGAGGAGACACAGUACAGCGUCAUUAAGAAGACAUAAGCCUGUGUCCCCAGCGCCACCAUCUGGAGCUGUGUGAAGGGCAGGAGCUAGGUCCCGUGUGGCUCCGGGAAAAGACGUGACCCACGUAGGCCGGUACCUGCAAAUACCUUUAUAAAUCACAGCUCCAUGGAAGUGUCUGGGAUCGCUGCAGCAUGGGGACAACUGGCGGCGGGAUCAGGCGAAUACAAAGGGCUUGAAGAUAGAGUCUCCCUUGUCUCAUGGACAAGGACGCCGAAGCCCAGAGAGCAGAGGCUUGCCCAUGACCCCAGAGCCAGUGACACAUUCUCCUGGACUCUUAGAUGACUUUAUUUUUAAUAUUAAGAAGGAUCGAUACAGUUUAAAAUAUCUUCAGAGAGAAGAAAAACGUUAUUUAAGCCAUGCCUGCUAUGUGCCUGCCAUCCUGUAUUAAAGGAGCCCCUCCCUUUGGAAGGCUGUCCCACUACGCUUGUCCUUUUGGCCAUCGACGGGCGCUGGGUUGGUUUCCGUGUUUUAGCUGCUGUGAAUAUGUUGCUAUGAUCAUGAUGUAGAAAUAGCUCGUUGAAACCCUGCUUUCGACUCUUUCAGAUAUAGACCCAGAAGGGGAAUUGCUGGAUCUUUAGAUAAAUCUAUUUCUAAGCUUUUGAGGAACUGCCAUCGUGUUUUCCACAGCAACUGCUCCAUUUUACAUUCCCACCAGCGGCGCGCAAGGCUUCCAAUUUCCCCACGUGCUCUCCAGCACUUGUUUUCUGUUUUUUGUUUGUUUGUUUUGUUAGGAGCCAUCCUAAUGGAGGUGGCAUAUCAUUGGAAUUUUGAUUGGCCUCUCCCCAGCGAUGAGUGAUGGGCUCGUUGGUCAGCUGUGUGUCUUCUUUGGAAAUGUCUAUUCAAGUCCUUUGUCCAGUUUUGAAAUGAGUUUUUUGUUGUUGAAUUUUAGCUGUCUAUAUAUUCUGGAUGUUAAUCCCUUAUCAGAUUUAUAAUUUGAAAAUAUUUUCUCUCAUUCUGUAGGUGGCCUUUUUAGUCUGUUGAUAGCAUCUUUGGUGCACAAAAGUUUAUCUUUUUUUAAAGAUUUUAUUUAUUUGAGAGAGAGAGGGAGAGUGAACGCAAGAGAGGGAGCGAGCACCAGAGUGGGGAGAGGCAGAGGGAGAGGGAGAAGCAGGCUCCUCACUGAUCAAGGAGCCCAACGUGGGGCUUGAUCCCAGGACCCUGGGAUCAUGACCUGAGCCGAGGGCAGACGCUUGACAGACUGAGCCACCGGCGUCCUGAUGUGCACAAAACUUAAUUUCCUUGAUGUCCUAUUUGUCUAUUUUUUCUUUUGUUGCUUGUGCCUUUUGGCUCAGAUAGGCACAGCUAGGGGAGGAUGCCAUCCGACACCACAGGACACACCGCAGGACAGUACCUGGGUGUCCCAGGCUUACUCCAAUGGAAGUCAUGCAACCUCUCUGGCCAGCGGUUCUUCUAGAAAAUAAAGAAAGCCUUCUGUUCCCCCUGCUCUAAAGUUUCCAUUGGAUGAAUAAACCUCAGCUCACCCAUUCCCAGAAAGAAAGAGAAGUUGAUCUUACUAAUAUAUUUUAUUUACCCCAAUAUAUCCAAAGUAUAACCAUUUCAACAUGUCAUCAUUGUGUUAAAUUAUCAGCGAGAGAUUUACUUUCUCUUAUUUGUGCUAAGGCUUAGACUCACAGCCCAGCACCUGAGACCAGCACAUUUCACGAGUUAGGACCCAGCUGUGGCCAGCGGCUGCCUGAGCUGCACAUCGCAGUCUUUGUGCAGGCUCUCUGGGCAUGUCCGAGUCGGGGCCCAGCCCACACGUGGCCACCAGCCUCCUUCUCCCCCUUCCCCGUCCAGGCCACCCUUUCCUGGUCUGAGGCUGGAAAGCCUUCUCUUGAUCCUCACUGUUCACUCAAAAUCUCUGAUCUGGGCACAUCUCUUCUUCCAGCGAAGCCUGGAGGGUUUUGGAACCACCAAGGCAAGCAGCCUUCAUCCUCUGCUUUCGGGCUGUGCCACACCGUCCCCGAGGCAAUGGAAGCAGUAGGCCUCCCGGAGUGAAUGGAGUAGAACCAAGGGGCGCCUGGGUGGCUCAGUCAUUAAGCGUCUGCCUUCAGCUCAGGGCGUGAUCCCAGAGUCCUGGGAUCAAGCCCCGUAUCGGGUUCCCUGCUCCACUGGG